rnacentral:misc_RNA from 1 species
UUUCCGUAGGUGAACCUGCGGAAGGAUCAUUGUCGAAACCUGCCCAGCAGAACGACCCGCGAACUUGUAUAAACAACCGGGGGCGGGGGGCGUUCUCGCCCCGUGCCCCCGAACGGCGGGGAGACACUCGUGCCUUCUUGCCGAACAACGAACCCCGGCGCGGUCCGCGCCAAGGAACUUCAACUAAAGAGUGCCUCCGGUCGCCUCGGAAACGGCGGGCGUGCCGGGGGCGAAUCUUGUGCAAAACCAUAACGACUCUCGGCAACGGAUAUCUCGGCUCUC